CGUGAAACUAGCAUUUUUAUGUCUUUUCUAUGUUUGGCUAACCUAUCUUUCAAAUUCCUAGAUGUUGCCCCUAUGUAUACUUCCUCAGCUCCAUUGUCCAAGUUCUGCAGAAGGAUUUUAUAUACUCCUGUUCCUUUUUCCCAGGUGUAAGGGUCCUUCACCUUUACACCGAAGAAACCAUCUUUAUUCAUGUUUAUUCUGUAUGUACCGACUUUAUUCGUGUUUAGAAUAUUAUUUUAUAUGUUUGAAAUUCAUAUUUGUAGAAUAAUAGAACAUCACAUUAUUCUAACUAUUCUCAGUUCUAAAUAAGAAAUUUAGAAUAACUUGUAAGAGCUGAUGAUGGUGCAUUAGCCAAAAACACUUCUCUGUUUAACCCUUUGCAUUCCUUUGCCUAGUCUGGCGAGACAACCGUUGACAUGCUUGCACUCCGAUGUCUUGCUCAGCAAGACAAGUUUAGGAACAGAUAUUUUCAGUUUUUUAAUUUUAUUGAAUAGACGCCAC
rnacentral:lncRNA from 1 species